ACCCCAGGACACUCGAAGGGCUCCUCUCCCUUCGUUUUAUUGCAGCGAUCCCACACUCUCCCAUUCCCAGCCCAACCCAUUUGGGUUCCCAAGGAGCGCGGUCCAGCCACCGGCUCAUCCACCACCCAGGUUCCAUGGGAAGAUUCCGCUUGACAAGACCCAAGCCAGCAGCCUGGUAGAACGCCCAGCUACUUGGAAACUCGGGCUCCGGGUUUCCCAGAGAAGCAUCCUCCUCGCGCCUGGCCCGGAGCCCUUUCCCACAGACCCACCUGCGUCUGGUCACCGUGAGGUCCGGGAGCCUUGCCCGUGUCCGUGCAGCUCUGAAUUCAAGGCCUGGCCGGCCCGCAGACUAAGCCGGCAGAGGACCAUGGGCAAGUUCUGUUGUGUUUUUGACUUCUCUGGGUUUCCGGCCUCACCUGCCCCCCGAACUUGCCAAGACUCCCCGUGGCUCGCUGAAGCUAAGCCCUGGAUCUCGUAGGGCCAGCAUGUGGUUGUUUCAAAUCUGGUCUGAAUCUGAUUCUCAACCCUACCUACUCUCUUCACCCUCUAGAUGCCAGCCGGAAGUAACCACUAACAGUUGGUCAUACAUACCCCAUGCGUUUCCAUUUGGGGCUCCAGUCCCUCUUGGGGAAUGUCAUUUCCUUCACCGACACCCGGCCAGACCCUCCUAGCCUUCAAAGCCCAAGCCUGAGUUCAUUGCCUCCAUGAGCACACCUGUCCCCCAUCCCACCUGGGCACGCUGGUUCCUCUCCACGUGACGCUCUCAACUCCUGUGCCCGCCUCCUGGGUUGCUUGCGCGCCUUUCUUAACUCACCCCGUGGAUCAUCACCAUGCUGAGGUCUCAUUCAUCUCUGCGUCCCCAUGUGUCCAGCACAGCACCUUGCGCCCGGGGCACCUGCUCAAUAAGUGUUGGACAUAAACUGUGGCCAAUGAUCAUCCCCCCAGCCCCCCGCCAAUCACUUCCCCACGCAUAUGUGCUUUGCAAAAGUACAAAUAGUUAUUUUAGCGUAAAAGUUGACGCCUGUGUGUUCCCGCCAGAUUCUUCUCGCGUGGGGUGCGGGUACCCCAAGUCUCCCGUGAAGGUGUAAGGUCCGUGGCUUCGAGGUUCGUUUUUAACAAGGGUGGAAGGCUUCGUCCCCCAUUUCGCGGCCUCCUCAUUUAGCUGUUGACCCACGCCGAAAAUAAGGAAGAGAACUCUGAAGGGAGAAGACAAACAAUGUAAGGCACUUUGAUACACGUGACCUGAUCGUCUGUCAUCUGGACCGAGUGGCAGCAGCCUCUGUAUAAAGGACCCGUAUCUGACUCAUCUUCUGAUCCCAGGACUGAGCACAGUCUGUCUGCUCCGCCUCAUGAGUGUUUUGAGAAAUUGAAAGGAAACCCCCGGAACCUCGGAAAGAGACCCUGUCUGAGGUCUCCCUUGUUGUUUCAUUAAUUCAGCAACAACGGAGCGAGCUGCCCAAAUUGACCUCAGGCUGCCAAGGCCUGAGGACCCAGUUCCCCGGGAGCCUCCCGGGUUUAAGAAAGAGGUAAAGCUGAGCUGGGUGGCUGUCUCCCACGUGGCCAAGAGGGGUAGCAGCCGUUUGGCUGGUGGUUGGGCCGGGACACGUGGUAUAUUUACAGCCACAGAUGCCCCCGGGGGUUCCGUAUCAGGAAGCCGUCUGCAAAGGGUCACCUCGACCUGUGGACUUAUCCUCGGACCUGCCGCUGUUGGCCUCCUAGUCCCUUCCCCGAGGUCUUUUCCUGAAUGUCUUGUACUUGCCCACAAAGCCUGGGGUCUGCGGCAGUAGGCUGGUUGCUGCCAUCUGGUGGACAAAAGAGGCCAUGGCCUUCCCAGGCUGGCCUGAAACCCGGGAGCUGAAAGGAACCUUUGACCACGGACCUUCCAGGACCCUGGGUGUCAAAGUUUUGCAGCCACGGAACACUUCCCUCAAACGACAGCAAGGACCAAGGUGACAAAUGCGCUGCUGUGGCUGUAGCAGGGGAAGGAGGGACUCGGAGCCCCACUGGACCUGCCGGACACUCCCCCAAGCUCAACUGGUAGAUUCACUUCCGCUGUCAUUGUAAGGAUGGGAGAGUGGAACCUUGAAGAUCAGAAGCUACUCGUGCAGGGGCGCCUGGGUGGCUCCGUCGGUUGCGCGUCCCAACUCUUGAUUUCGGCUCAGGUCAUGAUCUCACCGUUCAUGGGUUCAAGCCCCGAGCCGGGCUCUACACUGACAGCACGGAGCCUGCGUACGAUCUACUCUCUCCCUGGCUCUCUGCCCCUCCCCCAUUCAUGCAGGCACUCUCUCUUUCUCGAAAAUAAAGAAAUAAACAUAAAAAAACAAAGAAGCUACUUGUGCAGACAGUGGCAUAGCAGACUAAAACACAGGGCCCUUGUGCCAAACAUGCUUUGGCAUUUGCCCGGCCAAGCUGCACCGUCAACCUCAAACAAGGGCCCCACACGGCUUCCUGAGUGCUCAGCCAAGCCGCCUGUUCCAAGACAUCUAGGCUCCUGGGGAGGAGAAGCCCAGAACCCAAUUCUUCCUGCAUCUUCUUGUUUGAAUCAAACCGGGGUUGGACCCAUGAUGAUCCCUAUGUCCCCUUCUCCAUAGCCAGCAUGGAAUCAGGGCACAGAGAUGCCCAUUGCUGUCUCCGGAUUCCAAAGAAGCUUCCUGUUCCCUGACAUUGGGAGAGCCAGGCAGCCCCCUAGAACACAAAUAGGAAAGGCAACAAGAAUAGUUUGAGCAUCUGUGCUCAGAGCUCUGUGCAAAGCAUUUUCACGUCCGCCAUUUCAUUUACUCCUCAACAACACUGCAGUGUGGAUAUUCAUUUCCUCAGGGUUUUUUUUCAUAUUUUACUUAUUUAUAUAUUUAAGUAAUGUCUACACCUAACAC